rnacentral:rRNA from 1 species
GGCGAACGGGUGAGUAACACGUGAGUAACCUGCCCCCUUCUUCUGGAUAACCGCAUGAAAGUGUGGCUAAUACGGGAUAUUCUGGGUCUGUCGCAUGACGGGCCCGGGAAAGAUAUUGUUUCGGUGGGGGAUGGGCUCGCGGCCUAUCAGCUUGUUGGUGGGGUGAUGGCCUACCAAGGCGGUGACGGGUAGCCGGCCUGAGAGGGUGGACGGUCACACUGGGACUGAGACACGGCCCAGACUCCUACGGGAGGCAGCAGUGGGGAAUAUUGCACAAUGGGCGCAAGCCUGAUGCAGCGACGCCGCGUGAGGGAUGGAGGCCUUCGGGUUGUAAACCUCUUUCGCCAGUGAAGCAGGCCUGCUCCUUGUGGGUGGGUUGACGGUAGCUGGAUAAGAAGCGCCGGCUAACUACGUGCCAGCAGCCGCGGUAAUACGUAGGGCGCGAGCGUGUCCGGAAUUAUUGGGCGUAAAGAGCUCGUAGGCGGCUGGUCGCGUCUGUCGUGAAAUCCUCUGGCUUAACUGGGGGCUUGCGGUGGGUACGGGCCGGCUUGAGUGCGGUAGGGGAGACUGGAACUCCUGGUGUAGCGGUGGAAUGCGCAGAUAUCAGGAAGAACACCGGUGGCGAAGGCGGGUCUCUGGGCCGUUACUGACGCUGAGGAGCGAAAGCGUGGGGAGCGAACAGGAUUAGAUACCCUGGUAGUCCACGCCGUAAACGUUGGGCACUAGGUGUGGGGGGCCUUUUCCGGGUCUUCCGCGCCGUAGCUAACGCAUUAAGUGCCCCGCCUGGGGAGUACGGCCGCAAGGCUAAAACUCAAAGGAAUUGACGGGGGCCCGCACAAGCGGCGGAGCAUGCGGAUUAAUUCGAUGCAACGCGAAGAACCUUACCAAGGCUUGACAUGUGCCGGUCGGCUCCGGAGACGGGGCUUCCUCCUUGUGGGGCCGGUUCACAGGUGGUGCAUGGUUGUCGUCAGCUCGUGUCGUGAGAUGUUGGGUUAAGUCCCGCAACGAGCGCAACCCUUGUCCCGUGUUGCCAGCACGUUGUGGUGGGGACUCGCGGGAGACUGCCGGGGUCAACUCGGAGGAAGGUGGGGAUGACGUCAAAUCAUCAUGCCCCUUAUGUUUUGGGCUUCACGCAUGCUACAAUGGCCGGUACAGAGGGCUGCGAUACCGUGAGGUGGAGCGAAUCCCUUAAAGCCGGUCUCAGUUCGGAUCGGUGUCUGCAACUCGACACCGUGAAGUUGGAGUCGCUAGUAAUCGCAGAUCAGCAACGCUGCGGUGAAUACGUUCUCGGGCCUUGUACACACCGCCCGUCACGUCAUGAAAGUCGGCAACACCCGAAGCCCGUGGCCCUACGGGAGCGGUCGAAGGUGGG